AAGUCUGGUGCCAGCAGCCGCGGUAAUUCCAGCUCCAAUAGCGUAUAUUAAAGUUGUUGCAGUUAAAAAGCUCGUAGUUGAAUUUCGGGGUUAGUAGGUUGGUCAUGCCUCUGGUAUGUACUGGUCUCACUGAUUCCUCCUUCCUUAUGAACCGUAAUGCCAUUAAUUUGGUGUUGCGGGGAAUUUGGACUGUUACUUUGAAAAAAUUAGAGUGUUUAAAGCAGGCUAACGCUUGAAUACAUUAGCAUGGAAUAAUGAAAUAGGACGUUCGAUCUUAUUUUGUUGGUUUCUAGGAUUGACGUAAUGAUUAAUAGGGAUAGUUGGGGGCAUUAGUAUUCAAUUGUCAGAGGUGAAAUUCUUGGAUUUAUUGAAGACUAACUACUGCGAAAGCAUUUGCCAAGGAUGUUUUCAUUAAUCAAGAACGAAAGUUAGGGGAUCGAAGACGAUCAGAUACCGUCGUAGUCUUAACCAUAAACUAUGCCGACUAGGGAUCGGAUGAUGUUAAUUUUUUAAUGACUCAUUCGGCGCCUUACGGGAAACCAAAGUGUUUGGGU
rnacentral:rRNA from 1 species